rnacentral:rRNA from 1 species
AACGAACGCUGGCGGCAUGCCUAACACAUGCAAGUCGAACGAGACCUUCGGGUCUAUUGGCGCACGGGUGCGUAACGCGUGGGAACCUGCCCUUAGGUUCGGAAUAACUCCCCGAAAGGGGUGCUAAUACCGGAUAAUGUCUUCGGCCCAAAGAUUUAUCGCCUUUGGAUGGGCCCGCGUUGGAUUAGCUAGUUGGUAGGGUAAAAGCCUACCAAGGCGACGAUCCAUAGCUGGUCUGAGAGGAUGAUCAGCCACACUGGGACUGAGACACGGCCCAGACUCCUACGGGAGGCAGCAGUGGGGAAUAUUGGACAAUGGGCGAAAGCCUGAUCCAGCAAUGCCGCGUGAGUGAUGAAGGCCUUAGGGUUGUAAAGCUCUUUUAACCGGGAUGAUAAUGACAGUACCGGGAGAAUAAGCUCCGGCUAACUCCGUG